rnacentral:rRNA from 1 species
UACGUAGGGUGCGAGCGUUGUCCGGAAUUAUUGGGCGGAAAGGGCUCGUAGGCGGUUUGUCGCGUCGGGAGUGAAAACACCGGGCUUAACUCGGUGCUUGCUUUCGAUACGGGCAGACUAGAGGUAUGCAGGGGAGAACGGAAUUCCUGGUGUAGCGGUGAAAUGCGCAGAUAUCAGGAGGAACACCGGUGGCGAAGGCGGUUCUCUGGGCAACAACUGACGCUGAGGAGCGAAAGCGUGGGGAGCGAACAGG